UACGUAGGUGGCAAGCGUUUGUCCGGAUUUAUUGGGUUUAAAGGGUGCGUAGGCGGCCCUGUAAGUCAGUGCUGAAAUAUCCCGGCUUAACCGGGAGGGUGGCAUUGAUACUGCGGGGCUAGAGUACAGAUGAGGUAGGCGGAAUUGACGGUGUAGCGGUGAAAUGCUUAGAUAUCGUCAAGAACACCUAUAGCGAAGGCAGCCUUACUAGGCUGUAACUGACGCUGAGGCACGAAAAGUGUGGGGAUCAAACAGG
rnacentral:rRNA from 1 species